rnacentral:rRNA from 1 species
GGACUACCCGGGUAUCUAAUCCUGUUUGCUCCCCACGCUUUCGCGUCUCAGCGUCAGCAACGAUCCAGAGGGCCGCCUUCGCCGCCGGUGUUCCUCCUGAUAUCUACGCAUUUCACCGCUACACCAGGAAUUCCACCCUCCUCUAUCGCGCUCCAGCCGGCUAGUUUCCGCCGCCCUUCCGAAGCUAAGCUCCGGGCUUUCACAGCAGACUUGGCCAACCGCCUACACGCCCUUUACGCCCAGUCAAUCCGAACAACGCUUGCACCCUCCGUCUUACCGCGGCGGCUGGCAC